GAAUAUGGUGUCCAUGUUACAGUAAGUGUUGCAUGUUAAAGCAAGUGUUUAAAAACUAGCUUAUUUUCUGACUUCAGACUGUAACUCUUCAUGGGCCCCCUUUACCUGUGAUGUGCCAUUGGUAGACAACACUGGAGAGAGACGGAGACAGAGGCCAGCUCUGCUGAAUCACUGCCAAAACUUCCAUCAACUUUACCAAGGAUGUGGAUUAAGAGUACCCCAAAUAGCUGUCAGAGCUGCCCUCCUCCCACUUCCAGCGAACUGUGGGGGCAUGAACUGUCCAGAAAAAAAUACUUAUUUUAAAUUAGAUGGGGAAUAUAAACUUCUACUGACUGGUUCAAGAAACUCUGGUUGGAGAAGUCUUUGGUGUGCUGCUUGCCCUUUUUAUCCUUGUUUCUCUGUCUUCUUGCCACAUAAGAGAACUCUUCGUAACAGAAGCCUGACACCAUUACAGCUGCUAAGAGGAGAGCCAACUAAAAUGAGAAGGACAAAGGCUUUGAACAUUUAAUGGCCUAACACACAAAAACUACCUCCAGUUCCAGGAUGCAAAGCUUGGCUGACAGUCAGGCUCUGCUGGAUGAGGAAACCAGACAUACCCUGCAGGCAGCAUUUCCUUAGGCCCUGACCAAGGAACUACUUUCCCCUUGAAGGGCAAAGUAUGUUUUUAUGACCUUGCACACUAACAUAAAUACAGAACAACACAUGCAAUUUAAAAACUGAAAUCCCUAUCAGAACAUAACACUUCACUGUCCAUACUUCUUCCUCUGAGGAGACAAUGGGAAAACAAACUGUAUCUGACAGGUAUGUAGUCAGUUUGCUUAAUGUGUAAAGUCCUGCAAUUGGGGAGUACAGCAACAACAGCAGUGCAAAGAAAGCCAGACAGAUAUUUCCAGCUUUUUCCCUGAAAUGAUGAUCCAGAGGAAAAGGUUAGAAGAGGGAAAAACUGCUAGUAGUGAAAAGCAUUAGAAAGUAGAUAAUUUUACCAAAAAAA